rnacentral:lncRNA from 1 species
CUAGCAUAUGAAAUAACCUAAGUUCCCAAUUGGGUUUAGUGCAAAUGUGUUUGUGCUAACCUUUUGCUUGUUGCCUUGACCUAAUGUGAUUGGGUUUGAACCAUCUAUUUAUUAGUUGGUUUAUCUAAUUUUUAAUGGAAGAGUUUCAUAUGAGAUCACCUUUCUCUAUGCCAAGCCACACACCAAUUUAUUUUGCACGCCCCCUUUAUUUUGGCAUUAAGAAGGAAAAGUCCUUUUUAACAUGGUAUCUUAAUUUUCUUACCAAGUUUAUGCAUCCCUUUUAAUUCCUCAUGUCAUGGGAUGACCCUUGGGAUUGUGGGCAC